rnacentral:rRNA from 1 species
GAGGGUGCAAGCGUUAAUCGGAAAUUACUGGGCGUAAAGCGCACGCAGGCGGUUUGUUAAGUCAGAUGUGAAAUCCCCGGGCUCAACCUGGGAACUGCAUCUGAUACUGGCAAGCUUGAGUCUCGUAGAGGGGGGUAGAAUUCCAGGUGUAGCGGUGAAAUGCGUAGAGAUCUGGAGGAAUACCGGUGGCGAAGGCGGCCCCCUGGACGAAGACUGACGCUCAGGUGCGAAAGCGUGGGGAGCAAACAGGAUUAGAUACCCUGGUAGUCCACGCCGUAAACGAUGUCGACUUGGAGGUUGUGCCCUUGAGGCGUGGCUUCCGGAGCUAACGCGUAAAGUCGACCGCCUGGGGAGUACGGCCGCAAGGUUAAAACUCAAAUGAAUUGA